UCCGCAGGUGGGGUGGCAGCGAUGGCUGAUGGUGACCCUGGCGAGGGCAAUCCCGGCGUGUUCACAGCCACAGCCCUGCCCACGGACCCGCGGCUGCUGCCCACACUGACCAAUGCCUUCCUGGGUACCCGUGUGUUCCGGGACACCCUGCACGCCGCCGGCGUGUACAGCGGGGCCGCGGGGGACACGCACCGCGCCGAUGUCCCCAGCCCGCUGGGGCUGCGCAUGGCAGCGCCCGGUGCCCGCAGCCUGUCCGAGAGCUUCACCCUGGACACCUGGACAGGCACCUUCAGCCACACCAUUCGGGCCCCUGGCUACACGGCCACCCACCAGCUCUUUGCCCACUACUCCCUGGUGCACCUGAUGGCCUCCAGCAUCACCAUCCGCCGCUUGGAUGGCUCCACACAUCCCAUCACCRUCCAGCUCCAGAGCCUGUUUGUGCCACAGAGCCAGGACCUGGACCUCACCCCGGGGCCGGAUUUCCAGGGAGCGCACUACAUCCACGGGCGGACGCUGGUUCCCGAGGUGGAGGGGGGCCCCCGUCCCGCCGUGCACAUGCUGUGGACCCCCAUCCCGCAGUGGCUGACGCUGGGCGGGGAGGAGCGGGAGCGGCGCUGGGACUUGCUGGUGGCCGUGGCGGGGAGCGAGGAGGAGGCGCAGCGGAGCUACAGCGCGGGGCUGUCGCUGGCAGCCGAGGGGACCCUGCUCUGCUCACACACCCGUGCCUGGGCCGAGCUGCGCCGGGGCUGCUCCGUGCGGCUGGACGGGCCCCCGGCCCUGCGCCAGGCGCUGCACGGCUGCCUCUUCUACCUGCUGAGCGCCAUCCCGCCCCGGGACUGCCCGGAGCUCCCGUUCCACGGCAUCAGCCCCGGCGGYUUGUCCAACGGCAGCCGCGGCGAGGACUACUGGGGACACAUCUUCUGGGACCAGGACACCUGGAUGUUCCCGAACAUCCUGCUGCUGCGCCCCGAGGCUGCCCGCGCCAUCCUGCGCUACCGGAUCCGCACGCUGGAGGGAGCGAGGCGCAACGCGCGGGAGCAGGGCUACGAGGGUGCGAAGUUCCCGUGGGAGAGCGCAGCCACUGGUCGGGAAGUCUGUCCCGAGGAGAUCUACGGAGCRCAGGAAAUCCAUGUCACCGGCGAUGUCCUGCUGGCCUUUGAGCAGUAUUACCGCACCACGCAGGACCUGAAGCUGUUCCGGGAGGACGGUGGCUGGGAGCUGGUGGAAGCUGUGGCGCAGUACUGGUGCAGCAGGAUGGUGUGGAGCGAGGAGGAGCAGCUCUACCACAUCAGAGGUGUCAUGCCCCCGGACGAAUACCACAGCCAUGUGGAUAACUCUGCCUAUACCAACGCCGUGGCCCAGCACAGCUUGAAUUUUGCCGCUGACAUGGCUCGGGAGCUGCUGCUGCCGGUGCCAGAGGAGUGGGAGGAGCRUGCCAGGAAAAUCAAAGUGCCCUUUGAUGAGGAGAGGAAGUAUCACCCUGAGUACGAUGGCUACAGCCCAGGUGAGCCGGUGAAACAGGCAGACGUGGUCCUGCUGGGCUUCCCCCUGAUGCACCCCAUGAGUGCCGAGGUGCGCAGGAACGACCUGGAGAUGUAYGAGCCCAUCACCGACCCGGCGGGACCAGCCAUGACCUGGAGCAUGUUUGCCAUGGGCUGGCUGGAGCUCAAGGAGCCRCAGAGAGCCUGGACCCAGCUGGAAAAGUGCUUCAGCAACAUCACAGAGCCCUUCAAGGUCUGGGUGGAGAACUCGGAYGGCUCGGGAGCUGUGAACUUCCUGACGGGGAUGGGGGGAUUCCUGCAGGUCAUCCUCUUCGGCUUCACAGGGUUCAGGAUCACGAGGUCCGGCCUCCUCUUCGAUCCCACCUUUCCCGACGAUGUCACCAAGCUGGAAAUCUCCGGAGUCUCCUACUUGGGCAACAAACUGGCGUUCACCAUCACCGGGGAGGAGAUCAGGGUGGAAGUGACUGAGACCUCCCAGGACCUGCCAGCAUCRCCCCUGGAAGCGGUGCUGGAGUCAGGGCAGCGCUUUCCCCUGCGGGAAGGACAGAGGAUCUCCUUCCCCACAGCUCCUGGCCGGUUCCAGAGGUCACCCAGCAGGACCCCUUAACCUCGGCUGGUCCGGGCAUUGCCCAGCACAGCAGCAGCAGAUCUGGGAUUUUGGUGGGGGAGGGGGAAGGGAAUGGAGGCUCCCGAGCUGUGCCAGGCGGCCUUUGCCCCCUGAGGACUGUGUGUGCCACCUGUCCUUGUGUGCCACCCAUCCYUGUGGCCCUGGGGCUGUCCCCAUGGCUGGGGGUCACCACAUCUGAGCCCCCCCACUCGACUCCACACAUCUCUGACUCGGCACGGGAGAGGAAUCCAAGCCUGAAAAUGACCAUUUAAAAUGCGUAAUGACCAUUUCAAACACGUUUCCCCAGGUUGGGCAGGGUUGUUAUGCUCUCGGCGUGUUUGUGUUUGGAAGGAAGCCCCUUCCCGCCUCCAGGAUCCUGACUCCAGCUCCUUCAGCGUGUCCUGCCCUGCUCCUCACCUUCCCCCUGUGCUGCUCUGUGGGCUCAAGGGACCGUGGAGUGCUGUUUCACCAGAUGAGCAGUUUUUUGGCUCUAAAUAUCACUCCAAAAWACGCAGCCAAAAGCCUUUUAGCCCUGUGCAGGCAGCACACGGCUCCUUUCCUGUUAUUCGGGCUGCAGGAAGCCUGGACAUCGGUGAUCUGUGGUAUUGUCCUGUCGGAUGGCGACGAGGGCGGCAUUUUUCAGUGCCUGAGCAGCCUCGGGGCAAGCAAAGAUCUGCUACGGCAGUCUUUAGUGUCUCAGAAAACCCAAAAAAAUUAUUGUGCCUGCGCAGCAUCCUCCCUCCCACACCCUCCCUGCUCCCGGGGUGGAAUCGGUGAAAGCCGAAGGCGUUCCCUGCCCCGAGGGGUCUMUCCCGGCCAAGCUAACCCCAGGAAUCUCGGCCCGGUUUAUAAAAAGCCCCGCGGCAUCUGGGAAUGCUUAGGGCUGGAGCGGAGACUGUCCCGCUGCUGCCGUGUCAUUACUCGGGUUCUGCUCGCCCCGUCAGAGCCACCAGCCCCUCAUUAGCGGUGGCUCUUGGCAGGACAGAGGGACCCUGCUGUCCCCAGACACGGGCGCUGCGCCCGGCUUGGGAUUUGGAUGGGGCUGAGUGAAGUCUCGCUCUGAGCUGGGGUUAGUUGGCAGUAAAGGAAGUUCAUCGUCAACAAAGGGAUCCUUUAGUCCCAAACUGAGCCRUCUCAGCCCGGCAGGGAGAGCAGGGAGCAGUGGGAGUGCAUCCCGAACUCCCCCCGUGUCCUGGCUGGGGUUGUCUGUGUUGCUGUGAUGAAU